rnacentral:rRNA from 1 species
AGUAAUACAUCGGAACGUACCCUGAAGUGGGGGAUAACGUAGCGAAAGUUACGCUAAUACCGCAUAUUCUGUGAGCAGGAAAGAGGGGGAUCGCAAGACCUCUUGCUUUAGGAGCGGCCGAUGUCGGAUUAGCUAGUUGGUGAGGUAAAGGCUCACCAAGGCGACGAUCCGUAGCGGGUCUGAGAGGAUGAUCCGCCACACUGGGACUGAGACACGGCCCAGACUCCUACGGGAGGCAGCAGUGGGGAAUUUUGGACAAUGGGCGCAAGCCUGAUCCAGCCAUGCCGCGUGAGUGAAGAAGGCCUUCGGGUUGUAAAGCUCUUUCGGUGGGGAAGAAAUUGCUUCGGUUAAUACCUGGAGUAGAUGACGGUACCCGCAUAAGAAGCACCGGCUAACUACGUG